rnacentral:rRNA from 1 species
UGGGUAACCUGCCUCAAAGAGGGGAAUAGCCUCCCGAAAGGGAGAUUAAUACCGCAUAAUAUGUUUAAGUCGCAUGGCUUUAACAUCAAAGGAUUUUUCUUUUAGAAAUUCCACUUUGAGAUGGACCCGCGGCGCAUUAGCUAGUUGGUGAGGUAACGGCUCACCAAGGCAACGAUGCGUAGCCGACCUGAGAGGGUGAUCGGCCACAUUGGAACUGAGACACGGUCCAGACUCCGUAGG